CAGCAUAGGGUGAUGUGACAGUGAUGGA
rnacentral:piRNA from 1 species